GAACGCACCUUGCGCCCCUUGGUUAUUCCAAAGGGCAUGCCUGUUUGAGUAUCAUGAACACCUCAACUCUUGUGGUUUCCCACAAUGAGCUUGGACUGUGGAGGUUUUGUUGGCCCUGUGGUCAGCUCCUCUCAAAUGGAUCAGCUUACCGGUGUUUGGUGGCAUUACGGGUGUGAUAACUAUCUACGCUCGUGGUUGUCUCCAAAUAACCUCCAGCGAUGGAGGUUCGCUGGAGCUUAUAAAUGUCUCUCCCCAGUGAAGACUGCCUUUGAACGUUCGAUCUCAAAUCAGGUAGGACUACCCGCUGAACUUAAG
rnacentral:misc_RNA from 1 species